GACGAACGCUGGCGGCGUGCUUAACACAUGCAAGUCGAACGGAAAGGCCCUGCUUUUGUGGGGUGCUCGAGUGGCGAACGGGUGAGUAACACGUGAGUAACCUGCCCUUGACUUUGGGAUAACUUCAGGAAACUGGGGCUAAUACCGGAUAGGAGCUCCUGCUGCAUGGUGGGGGUUGGAAAGUUUCGGCGGUUGGGGAUGGACUCGCGGCUUAUCAGCUUGUUGGUGGGGUAGUGGCUUACCAAGGCUUUGACGGGUAGCCGGCCUGAGAGGGUGACCGGCGCCAGUGGUACUGAGAGCGGGCCCAGCGCCGGACGGGGGGCAGUGGGGGGAAGUAUGGUCCAGGGGGGGGGGGCGGGUGGCGGCGGCCCCGGGGGUGGAAGGACGGCUUGCGGGUGGAAAACCGCUUUGGCCUGUGACGAAGGGUGGGUGACGGUAAGGGAAAAAGAAGCACCGGCUAACUCCGUG
rnacentral:rRNA from 1 species